rnacentral:rRNA from 1 species
GAUGAACGCUGGCGGCGUGCCUAAUACAUGCAAGUCGAGCGAACGGACGAGAAGCUUGCUUCUCUGAUGUUAGCGGCGGACGGGUGAGUAACACGUGGAUAACCUACCUAUAAGACUGGGAUAACUUCGGGAAACCGGAGCUAAUACCGGAUAAUAUUUUGAACCGCAUGGUUCAAAAGUGAAAGACGGUCUUGCUGUCACUUAUAGAUGGAUCCGCGCUGCAUUAGCUAGUUGGUAAGGUAACGGCUUACCAAGGCAACGAUGCAUAGCCGACCUGAGAGGGUGAUCGGCCACACGGGAACUGAGACACGGUCCAGACUCCUACGGGAGGCAGCAGUAGGGAAUCUUCCGCAAUGGGCGGAAGCCUGACGGAGCAACGCCGCGUGAGUGAUGAAGGUCUUCGGAUCGUAAAACUCUGUUAUUAGGGAAGAACAUAUGUGUAAGUAACUGUGCACAUCUUGACGGUACCUAAUCAGAAAGCCACGGCUAACUACGUG